GCCAGUCGAACGGUCUCUUCGGCGGCAGUGGCAGACGGGUGAGUAACGCGUGGGAAUCUACCUAUCUCUACGGAACAACAGUUGGAAACGACUGCUAAUACCGUAUACGCCCCUAAGUUUUGGUGAUUUAGGGGGAAAGAUUUAUCGGAGAUAGAUGAGCCCGCGUUAGAUUAGCUAGUUGGUGAGGUAAUGGCUCACCAAGGCGACGAUCUAUAGCUGGUCUGAGAGGAUGAGC
rnacentral:rRNA from 1 species